rnacentral:rRNA from 1 species
AGUGAACGCUGGCGGUAGGCCUAACACAUGCAAGUCGAACGGCAGCACAGUAAGAGCUUGCUCUUACGGGUGGCGAGUGGCGGACGGGUGAGGAAUACAUCGGAAUCUACUUUUUCGUGGGGGAUAGCGUAGGGAAACUUACGCUAAUACCGCAUACGACCUACGGGUGAAAGCAGGGGAUCUUCGGACCUUGCGCGAUUGAAUGAGCCGAUGUCGGAUUAGCUAGUUGGCGGGGUAAAGGCCCACCAAGGCGACGAUCCGUAGCUGGUCUGAGAGGAUGACCGGCCAACCUGGACCGGGACAACGGCCCGGCUCCUUAGGGAGGCAAGAGGUGGGAAAUAUUGGACAAGGGGGGAAGGCCUGUCCAAGCAUAACGGGGUGGUGGAAGAAGGCUUUCGGGUGGAAAAGCCCUUUUGUGGGGAAGAAAAGCCGGAGGUUAAAACCCCGCUUGUCUUAAGGGAACCAAAAGAUUAGCAACGGGCAACUUUGGU